AUAACGACGUACAUGAACCGGAAGCACUUGAAUACAAUACAGAACAUUUAACCACAUGCAAAUAACAGCUGGGAUUUGUGCAGGCUCUUAAACGUGUUGAUAGCGAUUGCAAUUGAUUUUACAAUGACGAAUACCUGCCGUAAUGGAGUACCACCGCUGUGACCUGGCAAAGGUCAACCAAAAGUGAAAAGGUGACCCUGACCAGGAAACACACCCUGGGCUCAACGAAGACGCUGCCUUGUUUGACUCAUAAUGAAUAGGGCUUUCGAGAAAAAAAAAAUACCAGGAGCCCAAGAUCUACAAGAAUCAAGCAGAACAUUUUGAACAGUCUGUCCUCAGAAGGGCCACUUGAAGGUGUUCGGUCCGGCAGGAUGCAUCACCUUCACUUGUGCUCCAUCAUCAGAGACGUUCUCAGCUUCUCCAGGGAACAUGUUAUUGUGCUACAGCACCUUCACCCUGUCACCAGAUGCAGCUGAGCUGGACCCUUCUGGAUAACUGCACCUUUCAACACUGUCACCACUUUCACUGGAGCUGAGAGUCUGUAAACCUGAACUGUCUCUGCCUGUCCCGGUGUCUUCGGAAGAAAAGUGCCAUUUGGUCACCCUAGUAAUAACGACUUUAAUGGGUCACAGAGAACAGAACCAGGGCCCACGAGUGGAAGCUGAGGAAGGGCAUAUUCAGAACUGAAGGGAGAAAGAGCUUUUUCACAGAAAGGGUGGUGAACCAUUGGAACAGGCUGCCGGACAGAGUUGUUGAAGCAGAAACUAUUGGAUCCUUCAAGAAUAAACUAGAUGCUGUCAUGAACAAUACUGUAUAACCCUCUCUGUGACCUUAAUAAGACCUUUAGCUAGCCACCUGGAGGGAGGGCUGUCCGUCUAGCCAUGGAUUCCCAGAGGUUUCAUUCUCCUCCUAACCUGGUUCGGGGGUUUUUGUUUUUCCUCUCCGAAGUCUUAACGGACCACGCUGGCACCAAAGCCAACCAGCAUAGGUGGGCCGGGUGGCCUUUUUCUUUUUCUUGAAUUUGUUAUGUUCUAAAUAACAAGUGUUUGACCUGAAUGACCUUCCAUAGGCAAAUAUGAGAGAGAGAGCAAGCCCAGAAUAUAUCCAGAGGCUAAAAAAAUAAAAG